UUGUUUAAUUGACUAUAUGGUCUUUGGUUUUCUAGCUGUAUGAUUGUAAAAUUUGUUGAAAUCACACACUAGAUUACCAAUUUCAUAUAUUAUAUGUGAUCAUCU
rnacentral:pre_miRNA from 1 species